GACGAACGCUGGCGGCGUGCUUAACACAUGCAAGUCGAGCGGUAAGGCCCUUUCGGGGGUACACGAGCGGCGAACGGGUGAGUAACACGUGGGUGACCUGCCCUUAGCUCUGGGAUAAGCCUGGGAAACUGGGUCUAAUACCGGAUAUGACUCCAUGACGCAUGUUGUGGGGUGGAAAGCCUUGUGCGGCUAGGGAUGGGCCCGGCGGCCUAUCAGCUUGUUGGUGGGGUGAUGGCCUACCAAGGCGACGACGGGUAGCCGGCCUGAGAGGGCGACCGGCCACACUGGGGACUGAGACACGGCCCAGACUCCUACGGGAGGCAGCAGU
rnacentral:rRNA from 1 species